AGUAAAAGUCGUAACAAGGUUUCCGUAGGUGAACCUGCGGAAGGAUCAUUAAAAAAUGAAGGCCCGAUGAGAGGGUCUUAUUAAUAAUCCUACCCUUUGUGAAUUUGUUUGUUUUUAUAAACUGUGUCUCUCCCUGUUUUUGAUGGAGCUUGUUUAAAAAAGCAAAAUCAAAUCAGGGGAAUGGCAAAACCUUUUUUUAAAAUUAAACUUUUUGUAUUCAUUUGUCUAAAAAUUAUUUUUAUAAUAUAAAAACAACUUUUGACAAUGGAUCUCUUGGUUCUCGCAACGAUGAAGAACGCAGCAAAAUGCGAUAAGUAAUGUGAAUUGCAGAAUACGUGAAUCAUCGAAUCUUCGAACGCAUAUUGCACUUUUUGGUUUACCAAAAAAGUAUGUCUGUUUGAGUAUCAGUAAAAUAUUCUCAUAAAAACUUUUGUUUUUUAUGGUUAUGAGUGUUUUACAACGAUAAACAAGUUGUUUCACUUUAAAUUCUUUGUCUUAUAAAAAAUCAUUAAAAACUGAUUUUUUUUUAAAAUUGGAUAAAAUUUUCCUGUAAAAAGGAAUAACCUAAACAAUUUUAAUAAAUUAAUUAGUUUGAUUUUUUAAAAGAUCUAACAAGGAAAAAAAAAGUAAAAAUGAACUCGAUCUCAAAUCAGAUAAGAGUACCCGCUGAACUUAAGCAUAUCAAUAAGCGGAGGAAAAGAAACUAACUAGGAUUCCCUCAGUAACGGCGAGUGAAGCGGGAAGAGCUCAAAUUUGAAAUCUUCAAGGUUCUACCUUGACGAAUUGUAGUUUAAAGAAGUGUUUUCUGUUGGAGUUUUGGUAAAAGUUCUUUGGAAUAGGACAUCAUAGAGGGUGAGAAUCCCGUAUUUGACCAUUAUUUCCAACUUUGUGAUACACUUUCAAAGAGUCGGAUUGUUUGGGAAUGCAGUCCAAAAUGGGUGGUAAAUUUCAUCUAAAGCUAAAUACUGGCGAGAGACCGAUAGCGAACAGUACCGUGAGGGAAAGAUGAAAAGAACUUUGAAAAGAGAGUUAAACAGUACGUGAAAUUGUCAAAAGGGAAGCGUUUGACACCAGUGUUGUUUUCUCGAAAAUCAAUUAAAAAUGGCAGGACUUUGUGUUGUAUUGACUUUAUCAGCUUUCUGCACUUUUUUCUUGUCUUUUUUAAUGCACUUUUCGUUUAACAAGUCAACAUCAAUUUCUUUUGUUGUAAAAGGGUCAUUGGAAGGUGGCUUUCUUUUCGGAGAAAGUGUUUAUAGCCUUUGGCCUCUGCAAUCGGAGAGAUUGAGGUCUGCAGCGUAGAUCCUUCGGGUUAGAUGCAUUUGUGCUAAGUUAUAGCCUUUCAUAGACAGCUUGUUGACUAUGAUCAGUCAUGUAGCUUACUCGCUUAUGUCAUUUUACCUACGCUUAGGAUGUUGAU
rnacentral:misc_RNA from 1 species